rnacentral:rRNA from 1 species
ACUCCUACGGGAGGCAGCAGUGGGGAAUAUUGCACAAUGGGCGCAAGCCUGAUGCAGCCAUGCCGCGUGUGUGAAGAAGGCCUUCGGUUGUAAAGCACUUUCAGUCGUGAGGAAGGUAGUGUAGUUAAUAGCUGCAUUAUUUGACGUUAGCGACAGAAGAAGCACCGGCUAACUCCGUGCCAGCAGCCGCGGUAAUACGGAGGGUGCGAGCGUUAAUCGGAAUUACUGGGCGUAAAGCGCAUGCAGGCGGCCUGUUAAGUCAGAUGUGAAAGCCCGGGGCUUAACCUCGGAAUUGCAUUUGAAACUGGCAGGCUAGAGUCUUGUAGAGGGGGUAGAAUUUCAGGUGUAGCGGUGAAAUGCGUAGAGAUCUGAAGGAAUACCAGUGGCGAAGGCGGCCCCCUGGACAAAGACUGACGCUCAGAUGCGAAAGCGUGGGGAGCAAACAGGAUUAGAUACCCUGGUAGACUGUCA